GCCUGGCUAAUUCAGUUGGUAGAGCAUGGAACACUUGAUGUCAGGAUCUUGGGUUGGAGCCCCAAGCUGGGCA